rnacentral:lncRNA from 1 species
CAGCAAUGACAGGAUGAGAAUUUGAUGCCUUUUGAUUUUCUUACAAUUCUUUUAAUCGGGAGAAGCAAAUAAGUUUCGAUGUGCCAAUUAGUUAAAGAGGAGUGGUAGCUGCAAGCAACACAUCUCUGAGAACUUGGCACUUAGUGGUAUCAGCAAGGCAAAGUCCUUGGGACCAUUUGGCUCACACCUGCAGCUGUGACGCUCUAUCCUCACCUUUUAGGAAAAGGAGUUUGAAGGACAUUUCAGCACCCAGCCCUGCCUGUGGACCCUGUGGACCAUGACACAGACCCUGAGUCCUGGGGGCACUGGGCAGGCACCUGAGGACCUGAGUAAACAAGAAGGCCGGAUGCAGAUUUUCUCCUGGACACUGUGGCCAGGUAAAGCUGAGUCAAUGCUCUCCAGUGCUGGUGAUGCUCUCCUGUGAAUCUUCUCUCUCUUAAGAACCCCAGGAACUGUGAAGGCAGGUUGGCAUAGGGACCCUGAAUAGCAUCUAUAGUUAUAAAUAGCAAUAACCACAGAGCCAAAAAUGCCACAGAGCUGCUGUUGCCUGGGAUAAAAGGGUUUCUUCUCAAAAUGAUGGGGAAACCCUGGGUUAAGCAAAAUCAAACAGGCUUCUUUCCUGCAGGAUUUUUCAGAGAUGCUUUAUGAAACCCUCAAGAAUAGCAUAGAGGACACAUGGCUUCCCCCAGUUGUUUGACCACAGAACACAUGUAUUUGUCAAACCCCUGGAAAUAUCCCGUGGAACAGUUUGGGAAACGCAGUUCUAAAGCUUUUUU